GCAAAUUAUUCUCAAACUGUGUUUUUAGUUUCGUUCACGUGGAAUGACGUCCCAACUCCCAACGGCCUGUUCUGAAUAAAACGAACGUGACCUUACUUGCGUGUACGAUUUACCGUUAUUCGAUCUGUCUAGUACCAUGCGAGAAUACGUACGAAUGCCCAUCCUUUUAAUUUAGGCCUUGUUUAGUUCACCCCACAUCGAAUCUUGCGACACAUGCAUAAAGCAUCAAAUAUAGACGAAAAUAAAAACUAAUUACACAGUUUGUCUGUAAAUCGCGAGACGAAUCUUUUGAUCCUAGUUAGUUUAUGAUUGCAUAAUAUUUAUCAAAUAAAAACGAAAGUACUACAGUAGCGAAAUUCAAAAUUUUUUCGGAACUAAAUAAGGCCUUAGCUUUUCUCUAGUUUUUUUUUUUUUUACCUUUCCUCGUAAUAUAAAUCUGAGGCGGAACCGGGCCCUGGAGUACAAAUUAUCGGACAGUGAGGUCACAGGUCACCGGCCCAGCCCAUCCCACCCGUCUACUCUAGGUCGUGGGCCGCGGUGCGCCUCGCGGCCUGCUCGCAGCCGCGGAACGAAGGGCGUCGACCGCUGCUGCGCUCAAGUGAACGACGACCGACCCUUUCUUUCACUUUGGUCUUUGGACCGUGCGAACGUCUGACCGACCCGUGUCCAGUUUUGGUUCUGCUUCUGCGGAGUACUACUCCUUAUCUUGCGUUGUGGGGUGACGAGGGUCGAGCAGCAGGACCCAGGACGCCAUCCCGUGCCUCGCUGACACAAGGCGACAACGGCAAAGCCAGCUAUAAAUUUUAGUUGGCUAAAUAUUACAAAUUAAAGCCAAAUCUUAUUUACCCCAUGAGAUGAUUACCUCCCUCAAGUUAACUCUCGUAUCUGCAGAGCUUUGUUUGUUUGCUUGAUAAGUCAUAAUAGAAAAUAUUAUUGUUUGAUUUAUUAUGGUAGAAAAAUAUUGUUGAAUAACUAAUAGAUUUGGAUUACAAGCUCAAGCGAACAAUCUGGUAUCUACAUAGGCCUUGUUUACUUCCCCAAACAUUGGCGGACGCACGAGGGAGGCUGCAGCCCCCCUCUUGGGCUGAAAUUUUUUUUUGACAUGUUUUCUUUUUUAGCAAAAAACUCUAUAUGAUUCUAAAAAAAAAAGCAAAAGACUCUAUAUAUUUGGUAUUUUUCUAUGCUUAUUUUAUAAAUCUUUGUCUUUAAACACUUUGAAUCAAUAUUGAAUUAUCAAUCUUACCUAUAACUAUUAGGCCUUGUUUAGUUUCCAAAAUAUUUUGUAAAAUUUCUCAGAUUUCCCAUCACAUAUAAUCUUGCGGCACAUACAUGAAUCACUAAAUAUAGAUAAAAGAAAUAACUAAUUACACAGUCUGUCUGUAAUUUGCGAGACAAAUCUUUUGAGCCUAGUUAGUCCAUGAUCGGACAAUAUUUGUCAAAUACAAACGAAAAUGCUACUAUUCCUAUUUUGCAAAAAAAUUUGGAACUAAACAAGGCCUUAGUGUACUGAAUUGAGCGAGAAAAAAAUAGCAUGUAUUAUUUAGCUCCCCUCUUGGUCCAUUUCUAGAUCCGCCACUGUCCCCAAAUAUUUACAAAAUGCAUCAAAUUUUGUAGCUAAUAUUUAUUAAAUACAAACAAAAAUACUAUUAUUUAUAUGUUGUAAAACUUUUUACAAGUAAACAAGGCCAUAAAAAGGAAAGUAGUAAAAUGCGCUCCCCGAGAAAAUAGCGAGUAAUAAAGAAUUCGAAUAAAUCUCCCGGCUCCAC
rnacentral:lncRNA from 1 species